CGGACGGGUGAGUAACGCGUGGAAAACCUGCCGUAUACUGGGGGAUAACACUUAGAAAUAGGUGCUAAUACCGCAUAAGCGCACAGCUUCGCAUGAAGUGGUGUGAAAAACUCCGGUGGUAUACGAUGGUUCCGCGUCUGAUUAGCUUGUUGGUGGGGUAAUGGCUUACCAAGGCGACGAUCAGUAGCCGGCCUGAGAGGGUGAACGGCCACAUUGGGACUGAGACACGGCCCAAACUCCUACGGAAGGCAGCAG
rnacentral:rRNA from 1 species